rnacentral:lncRNA from 1 species
AUCCCUGUGAGUCUGACGGCCACGGCCUCACCCAGGCCGUUCUUCCCUGCAGCAUCCCCAGGCCCCCUGCGGGCAGGGACGGAGGGCUGACUCCGCUCCCGAGAGCCAGGAGGCUACAGGUUCUGGUCUUGGGAUUGCUGCCCAUCCUGAGGGUGAAGAGAAGCCCCUGGACAGAGGAUUGGAACCUUGUUCCCAGCAGGCUCAGACACCAGUGAGGUCCAGCCAAGGUCCCCAUAGGUGCAGAGGGCGAGGGGCCUGUUUAGUGGCUGUCUACAGGUACAGGGCUGGGCUGGUGUGACCCAGCCGCUCCUCGUUCACACCUGGGACAGGCUGGGGCAGUGCUUGUCUGUCUGUCCGUCAGUGUCUGAAAGCCCCUUGAUGCUGGCACCAGCAAUAGGCGUGCUGGAGCUCUGGGUGCUGGCCACCAACUUCAGAGACUAUGCCAUCAUCUUCACUCAGCUGGAGUUCGGGGACGAGCCCUUCAACACCGUGGAGCUGUACAGUCUGACGGAGACAGCCAGCCAGGA